rnacentral:ncRNA from 2 species
GGUUGGAUGGCAAAAUUGCUAUUUUCAAGAGAGUCAGGCUUCUAGGGUGGGGAGCU